rnacentral:rRNA from 1 species
ACGCACGCUGGCGGCGUGCCUAAUACAUGCAAGUAGCACGCUGAAGGAGGAGCUUGCUUCUCUGGAUGAGUUGCGAACGGGUGAGUAACGCGUAGGUAACCUGCCUGGUAGCGGGGGAUAACUAUUGGAAACGAUAGCUAAUACCGCAUAAUAGUAGAUGUUGCAUGACAUUUGCUUAAAAGGUGCAAUUGCAUCACUACCAGAUGGACCUGCGUUGUAUUAGCUAGUUGGUGGGGUAACGGCUCACCAAGGCGACGAUACAUAGCCGACCUGAGAGGGUGAUCGGCCACACUGGGACUGAGACACGGCCCAGACUCCUACGGGAGGCAGCAGUAGGGAAUCUUCGGCAAUGGACGGAAGUCUGACCGAGCAACGCCGCGUGAGUGAAGAAGGGUUUCGGAUCGUAAAGCUCUGUUGUAAGAGAAGAACGAGUGUGAGAGUGGAAAGUUCACACUGUGACGGUAUCUUACCAGAAAGGGACGGCUAACUACGUG